AUUGAACGCUGGCGGCAUGCCUUACACAUGCAAGUCGAACGGCAGCACGGGACUCGGGCAACUGAGCCCUGGUGGCGAGUGGCGAACGGGUGAGUAAUGCAUCGGAACGUGCCCAGUAGUGGGGGAUAACUAGUCGAAAGAUUAGCUAAUACCGCAUACGACCUAUGGGUGAAAGCGGGGGAGUUUUCGGGCAACCGAGAACCUCGCGCUAUCGGAGCGGCCGAUGUCNGAUUAGCUAGUUGGCGGGGUAAAAGCCCACCAAGGCUUCGAUCAGUAGCUGGUCUGAGAGGACGACCAGCCACACUGGGACUGAGACACGGCCCAGACUCCUACGGGAGGCAGCAGUGGGGAAUUUUGGACAAUGGGCGCAAGCCUGAUCCAGCCAUGCCGCGUGC
rnacentral:rRNA from 1 species